UAGGGAAUCUUCCGCAAUGGACGAAAGUCUGACGGAGCAACGCCGCGUGAACGAUGAAGGCCUUCGGGUCGUAAAGUUCUGUUGUUAGGGAAGAACAAGUACCAGAGUAACUGCUGGUACCUUGACGGUACCUAACCAGAAAGCCACGGCUAACUACGUGCCAGCAGCCGCGGUAAUACGUAGGUGGCAAGCGUUGUCCGGAAUUAUUGGGCGUAAAGCGCGCGCAGGCGGUUUCUUAAGUCUGAUGUGAAAGCCCACGGCUCAACCGUGGAGGGUCAUUGGAAACUGGGGAACUUGAGUGCAGAAGAGGAGAGUGGAAUUCCACGUGUAGCGGUGAAAUGCGUAGAGAUGUGGAGGAACACCAGUGGCGAAGGCGACUCUCUGGUCUGUAACUGACGCUGAGGCGCGAAAGCGUGGGGAGCGAACAGG
rnacentral:rRNA from 1 species